CGCACAUUGCGCCCCUCGGUAUUCCGGGGGGCAUGCCUGUUCGAGCGUCAUUACACCAUUCAAGCUUGGCUUGGUAUUGGGUUCUCGCCCCUGCGGCGUGCCCGAAAAGCAGUGGCGGUCCGGCGUGACUUUAAGCGUAGUAAAUAUCAAUCCCGCUUUGGAAGUUCGCGUCGUGGCUCGCCAGGCAACCCCACGGAGAUUGUUUACCCAUCCUUCGUGCUUUCAAUAAUUGACCUCGGAUCAGGUAGGGAUACCCGCUGAACUUAA
rnacentral:misc_RNA from 1 species